UUGCAGCUAAUGAGGCCGACCAGCUCUGCGUCUUCACUGCGGCCUGGUGUGCGGUGGCCGCCGACAGCAGCCUGCCCGGUAGUGCACAAGCCCUAGGACUUGGAUGGCCUGCCCUCAGGGCCCCCGGAGACAGAC
ensembl:snoRNA SNORA70 Small nucleolar RNA SNORA70